UACGAAGGGGGCUAGCGUUGCUCGGAAUUACUGGGCGUAAAGGGAGCGUAGGCGGAUAGUUUAGUCAGAGGUGAAAGCCCAGGGCUCAACCCUGGAAUUGCCUUUGAUACUGGCUAUCUUGAGUGUGGGAGAGGUUAGCGGAACUCCGAGUGUAGAGGUGAAAUUCGUAGAUAUCUGGAGGAACACCGGUGGCGAAGGCGGCAUCCUGGACCAAUUCUGACGCUGAGGAGCGAAAGCCAGGGGAGCAAACGGG
rnacentral:rRNA from 1 species